CACACGAUAGGUCGAAGAGUGGUGCAUGGCCGUUAACGACGAGUGGAGUGAUCUUUGGGGUAAGUCCGUAAAUUAGUGAGACCUCAGCCGUAAGGGACAGGUGCGCAAAGCACAGGAAGGAUGGGUCAAGGACAGGUCAGUGAUGCCCUUAGAUGGUCCGGGCUGCACGCGCACUACAGUGGUCGCCGAAAUUACCUGAUAAUUUUAAAGGCGAUCGAGAGGGAAUGAGCUUUGUAAGAGGCUCAGGAACGAGGAAUUGCUAGUAAUCGCGGACUCAUUAAGACGCGAUGAAUACGUCCCUGUUCUUUGUACACACCGCCCGUCGUUAUCGAAGAUGAAGACAGGCGCGAACGAUCUACCAGAAAGUGAGCGCAGGUCUUUAGAUCUGAUACAAGUCGUAACAAGGUAGCUGUAGGUGAACCUGUAGCUGG
rnacentral:rRNA from 1 species